rnacentral:rRNA from 1 species
AGCAGUAGCCGCGGGAACACGUAGGUGGCAAGCGUUGUCCGGAAUUAUUGGGCGUAAAGGGCUCGCAGGCGGUUUCUUAAGUCUGAUGUGAAAGCCCCCGGCUCAACCGGGGAGGGUCAUUGGAAACUGGGAAACUUGAGUGCAGAAGAGGAGAGUGGAAUUCCACGUGUAGCGGUGAAAUGCGUAGAGAUGUGGAGGAACACCAGUGGCGAAGGCGACUCUCUGGUCUGUAACUGACGCUGGGGAGCGAAAGCGUGGGGAGCGAACAGGAUUAGAUACCCCCGUAGUCCCUGUCUCUUAUAC